rnacentral:sRNA from 1 species
AGAAUGUCUGGAGAGUCAUGCCUAGAUGUCACUAGUUAAGACAUUUGAUUUGAACGAACAAAGCUAUCAACAAUGAUUUAUCAAGUUUUACUGGUGACGUUUUUUAACUAUGCUCUCUCGGCCUACACUGACCCUCACUGUAUUGGGGGCAGAGACGGUAUUGUCCAUCUGUUUGAAUGGAAAUGGAACGACAUAGCCGCUGAGUGUGAGAGAUUUCUUGGACCUUAUGGCUAUUGUGCU